UGGCCCAAACACCUGAACAUAUGACUGGUGGUAUGAAGUCUGAAGGUAGUAAGAGCUUUGCUGAGACACAAGGGACUAUGAGUGCAAAGGAAAUUGAGAAGAUAUCAGAUGAAAGCAACAAUGUUCAACCAAGUUGGAUGAAAUUACUGAUAAUUAUAUACAAUGUCACACUCGAUGUUAUGACAUUAUAUUAUGACAACCUGGACGGUACACCUUUGUCCAAAGACCAUAUUCAGCACAGCUGGACCAAUUACAUCACUUGCUUUCAUCACUCAUGUAGAAAAUAUGUAGAAAACAAACUCAUAGUUCUACAGCAUGAAAUGCAACUAACCAACAGGACUGCA
rnacentral:lncRNA from 1 species